CGCUUGAAUACGUAUAUGUUUUGAUAGUAUGCCAAAACAGUACUAGCACUUUGCGCCUUCUGUGCGCCUCUCACGCUUUAAGUUCAAUAGAAAAUUACUCCAUCACCGAAGAAACUCAACUUUGAAAGGGUGAGUGAUACUUGAUAUUCUGCUUGCUGCUCCAGAGUAAACUGACAUGAAGUAAAAUUAGAGGAGCCAACAAGCGUGGUUUUAGAUUGUCAUUACUUAACCGGAAAUUAACAAAUUCAGUUGACGCCUCCAUCUUUCAGGAUGCCUCAGUCACGAAUUGUUUUCCUGUUAGUGAUGUCAUUUGGAGUACAAUGCUUAGGUAUGUUAACACUUUAUUCUUAUGGCCUACACAUAAUGUGUUACAAGUCUUAUCAGGUGCCUCAAGCUGAGGAAACUCUUUAAGGUGGCCAA